CCAUAAUAACUAUUGUGUGUUCA
rnacentral:siRNA from 1 species